rnacentral:rRNA from 1 species
UGCAACUCGACUACAUGAAGCUGGAAUCGCUAGUAAUCGCGAAUCAGAAUGUCGCGGUGAAUACGUUCCCGGGUCUUGUACACACCGCCCGUCACACCAUGGGAGUUGGUAACGCCCGAAGUCAGUGACCUAACCGAGAGGGAGGAGCUGCCGAAGGCGGGACUGAUAACUGGGGUGAAGUCGUAACAAGGUAAC